rnacentral:rRNA from 1 species
CAAUCCAUGAGUAAAGUGGCGCACGGGUGAGUAACACGUGACUAACCUACCCUUGAGUGGGGAAUAACUGAGGGAAACCUUAGCUAAUACCGCAUAAUACCUACGGGUCAAAGGAGCAAUUCGCUUAAGGAGGGGGUCGCGGCAGAUUAGUUAGUUGGCGGGGUAAUGGCCCACCAAGACGGUGAUCUGUAUCCGGCCUGAGAGGGCGCACGGACACACUGGAACUGAAACACGGUCCAG